GACGAACGCUGGCGGCGUGCUUAACACAUGCAAGUCGAGCGAUGAAACACCUUCGGGUGUGAAUUAGCGGCGAACGGGUGAGGAACACGUGAGAAAUCUGCCUUCAACACUGGGAUAACUCCGGGAAACCGGGGCUAAUACCGGAUAUGAAAUCUGCGGGCAUCCGCGGAUUUGGAAAGUUUUUCGGUUGAAGAUGAUCUCGCGGCCUAUCAGCUUGUUGGUGAGGUAAUGGCUCACCAAGGCGACGACGGGUAGCCGGCCUGAGAGGGCGACCGGCCACACUGGGACUGAGACACGGCCCAGACUCCUACGGGAGGCAGCAGUGGGGAAUAUUGGGCAAUGGAGGAAACUCUGACCCAGCGACGCCGCGUGCGGGAUGAAGGCCUUCGGGUUGUAAACCGCUUUCAGCAGGGAAGAAGCGAAAGUGACGGUACCUGCAGAAGAAGCACCGGCUAACUAUGUGCCAGCAGCCGCGGUAAUACAUAGGGUGCAAGCGUUGUCCGGAAUUAUUGGGCGUAAAGAGCUCGUAGGUGGUUCGUCACGUCGGAUGUGAAACUCUGGGGCUUAACCCCAGACCUGCAUUCGAUACGGGCGAGCUUGAGUAUGGUAGGGGAGUCUGGAAUUCCUGGUGUAGCGGUGGAAUGCGCAGAUAUCAGGAGGAACACCAAUGGCGAAGGCAGGACUCUGGGCCAUUACUGACACUGAGGAGCGAAAGCGUGGGGAGCGAACAGGAUUAGAUACCCUGGUAGUCCACGCCGUAAACGGUGGGCACUAGUUGUGGGGACCUUCCACGGUCUCUGCGACGCAGCUGACGCAUUAAGUGCCCCGCCUGGGGAGUACGAUCGCAAGAUUA
rnacentral:rRNA from 1 species